UUCACACUGCAGCCUGGGGUGGGGUAGAAAGGGGCACCGGGGUGGGGAGGGCCCAGGUAAAGAGGCUGGACAUCCACUGUCUCCCCUCAUCCAGGCCUCCCUUGCUCACCGCCUCUAGGAAGUCUGCCAAAUGCCGCUACAUGCUCCAUCUUCCCUGGUACGUUCCACGGAGGCUCCUCCCCACCCCUGUCCGCUAACGGCCACUGGUGCGAGCCUGGCGCUAUGGGAGCCUGAACUUCCUGCUGACUGAGGCCUGAUCACACACUGGGGCAGGCGGGUGCAAGUCAGCAGGGCCACGAGUCCAUCUCUGCGUCCCUCCAGCGCAGAUCAACAGGCACCUGGGACCCCGGCAGGUGGAGGCCGGGGGCCUAGGGAGGUAAGGACGCCCAGACACACAGAGGGAGCAAACGACACAGCCGGGCUUUGGGCCAUCAUCAGUGUGAGUGACACAGCACAAGGAGGCCCUGUCCUGGGGGGUCAGAGGUGGCGUCCUGGUGAAGAACCAGGACUUCGUUGGAACUGGAGAUGCUCCCUGUGCGAGGAAUUCCAGUGGCCCAGUUAUGUUACUUUGGUGCAGAGGCAGGUGUGUGGUGGACGGGAAAGAACAUGUGGACUCUGGGAGCGUUCAGCCCGGGUUAGAGUUCCGGUCCCCAUCUUAGCGGCACGUGAACAUCACCUCUCUGAGCCUGUUUCCCACUGAGAGCCCAGACCUGCUGACUGCCAGACUUGUCCUGUGUGCGCGCGUGUACACACGAGUACACACACACAUCUACACACAUAUACACACACACCUACACACACACCUACACACGUACACACACAUCUACA